GGAGUGAUCGAAGAGAUCAACGAUGGUAGGAGCAGUUGUGUGCUGCCAACCGUAGAGGUCUCACCUGUCUCCAGAAACCUAGCUGAACAGUUUUGUUUCCUGUUCCCAUAUCAAAGAUGACUGUAUCAUCCUUCCACGUGAGAGGACGUGCAAGUAGGAAAUGUUCAGCAUGUUAUUUGCAUCACCUCAUGGAGUUCCUGUUCAUGGUGCAGACUUUGUGAACAAAUCCCACAGGACCCUCAAUCUGUCCAGGUGUCAGGCUGACUGCAGUGAUGAAGAAUGGUAUUGCAGGUCCCGUCUGAAGAUAGCAAGCCCUCACAGUGAUGAAAAAUCUCCAUAGACAUUCUAUCGUUUUAUUUCAAAGCAGGGGAGACGAAUCUGUGUGUAGCAGAGAAACAUCGAUUUUAAUGUCCAGUUUCAAGAGAUUGUCAAUUAACAAAUAGAAACAUUUGUUUUGAAAGCUGUAAGUCACAGUUUUCCUCUGCACAUGGGACAAGUCCCAUGCGUGUGACAACACCCGGAUGCCGUGAUAGUAGGUCUCAGUCCAUUUAUGCUGCCAUAACCAAAUGCCACGGACUGGGUGGCGCCUACACCACAGAAGUUCAUUGCUCACAGCUCUGGAGGCUGGAAGGUCCGCUCUCAGGGCAUCAGCACGGCUGGGUUCUGGCGAAGACCCUCCUCCGGGCUGCAGGUUGCAGACUCCUUGCCGUGUCCUCCCGCGGUGGAAGGGACACGCUAGCUCGCUGUGUUGCCGCAAAAGGCAGAACCUUCGUGAUCUAACCAAACCCCCCAGAGCCCCAUCACCUUUGGGGUUAGAAUUCCCACAGAAGAGUUUUGGGGAGACGCGAAUAUUUGGACCCUAGCAAAAUGUGAGGGUGAACAAGAGCCGGAGGGGUGACUCGGCCCGUCAUUCUGUAAGAGGAACCAUUGCACAAGCCCUAGGUUCACGGCCUUGAAGGCCUGCAGGGCGCCACACAGGACCUUGGUGAGAGAGAAGGUCCGUGUCAUUGAGUCUGCUCCCAAUGAGAAGGCUGAUCCUGUGAGGUCCUAAUAGCAAUGAAAAAAAAAAAUUCUAGAGGCUAAUUGACUCCUAUGAGUUCGAGGUUCCUUCUACCCCAGAAGUUGGCAGACUUUUUCUCUAAAGGGUCAGAUGGAAAAUAUUUUAGUCUUUGUGGGUCAUUUAGUACCUUUUGCGACAACUCGACUCUCCCAUUAGAGCGCAAAAGCCAAAAAGUGAAUGAACGUGACUGUUUCAACGGAACAGAGAUCAUACCCUAAACGUAUUUUUUCUAGCCUUUCUUAUGCCUGUACUUCUGGGCACUGGGAUUUGAACUUCACGGAAUUUGCCUACGUCAAGAAAUACUCUUCUUCUUGUGAUUUCUUAAAAUUGCUAACCACUCUUAGCUCAUGAGGCAUACCAAAGGUGUGUCAACCUUGGCUGAAACCGUGCUCCUCACCAUGUGGUCCACAGACCUGUGGCUUCACCCGGAGGCGCAUCAGGAAUGCUGACUCUCAGGCUCCGUUGCAAACAUGCUCUGUCAGAACUAGAAGACUAAAUAUCAGGAAGGCAGAGACCUCGUCUGCUCUAGAUGUAGACCCAACACAGUGCCUUAUACACAGUAGCUUCUCAGACAAAUAUUUAUUAAAAGAAUGCCUCCAGGAGUUUGUUCAGGCUCCCCCAUUAUAAACAAGUAAAUCUUCUGGGAAUACGUGCUCGAAGGGUUAAAAUGAACUUCUGUCAUCAGUCAGAAGUUUUUGCUUGUUGAAGGGCUAGAAAUACAUGUCCCCCUUAGCCUCACAGUAUAUCCUUCUCCAGGAUGACUUAACCAUGAUGGAGUUUUGCCACAUACACAACAGAAGAGUAAACUUACAUGAACUAAGAGGCUGGACGUUCAGCAAAAUUAAUACACUGGAUACAAAUCAAGAGGCAAAUAGAUUUUGUGGGUUAUGUUGAAACCGUGGUAAACAUGACGCAGAAGACAGGCAAGAAAAAAAAUAUGUGUAGAGUAUGAUCUCUUGAACCAAGCACGGAGAUAGAACAGAUCUCCCCAAGGAAGUCUAAAAAAUCUCUAAGCCUCCUCAACCCAGCCUCCUGGGUACUGACUGUUCUUGUUCUGACACAGCUCUUGGGGAGAAUACCCUUUUUCGGGGAAAAGAAGGCUUUUGAGGAACAACACAGAAGAGUGAUGGAGUGUCAUCAAGGCUGGCUUCGUCGGUUGGGAUCUGAGUCAGAAAGGAAAGGCAAGUGGAAAGGUGAAUUAUGACCAUUUCAGUGUCUACUCAGUGAAGUGUCUAAUAUUACCGUGCAAUACUACACGAGGAUCGGUACCUAAAUGAAAAGAAAAAAAGGGAGAGCUUAAUUUCCCAGGACCGAUGUGAGAGCUGGAGAAAGAGCAAGGAGGAGGCCGGCCGGGAACACUAAGAAAUGCCGAGAAUCCAGCAGGGCCGUGGGCCCCUGCAGAACCAUGAGUCCCCACCGUGACCCUGCUCCCGUGGGGGAUGGGCUGACAGGCCGGCAGCACGUGGCCACAGGCUCCUCCCCACACACCGUGUGGUGGCCACAGUGCCACAGGCCUCACGUAUCAGGAAAUGAUGAACAAGACACCCCCACAAACCGGAGCCCCCACCUCCUCAGAUAAAAGAAUUUUAAGGAAGCUUUUACUUGGACUUACAAUAAAUUGUCUUGUUUUCUGGAAGGCCUGCGGUCUUGCUUAUUUCUUGGCCAGUGUGCACGUUGACCAGUGGGAGAAACGCAGGGGAGGGAAAUGAUCUCAGGCCCAGGGGGGCACAGCUUACAGGGAUGGCCCCAGACCUCUCCCUUCAAGGCGUGGCACCAUUUUUGUUUGGCGUCACUUCUGGGUUUGGGUGUUGGACACUUUCUUCCUUCAAACCUCACGUACCAGUGGCUGAUUUGCAAAUCUGCAGCAUAAAUUCAAGACACUCUCCAGUUGCUUUCCUAGUAAAUCGUAUUGUAUGAUAGCAAAUAUGAAAGAAAUCCUGCUAAAUGGCUUCUCAUUACUAUAGUAAUAGUCCGAAAGGGAUUAUAAUAGCACCGGAGCUCAGGUCUUUAAAGUCAUGGGUAACUUCUGUCGUAAGAUUGGAUGAAUACAUCUAUGUGGCUUUAACCUUAUUAUUUCUCAUUUUAGCCAAUUUUCCAAAAUAACCUGAUAUGAAUAACAAACUCUGACACUGAGAUAGUUUAAGGGAUUUAUGCGGCAACACGAACUAGACUAGCAUUCACAUCAUCUGGGAGGGUUUCAGAAGGAGAAGACAGAGAAGAGGGGGCAGAAAAGUUACUUGAAGAAAUCAAAGCUAAAAAUUUCCCUAACCUGGGGAAGAAAACAGACAGCUAAGACCCGGAAGCCCAGAGAAUUCCCUAUAAAAUGAACCUAAAAGAGAUCCACAUGAGCCAAUAGUAACUCAGAAUGGAUUAAAGGCUUGAAUGUACGACCUCAAAUCCUAAGCCUCCUGAAAGGAAACAGGUGGUAAGCUCAUUGGCAUGGGUCUUGAUCCUUUUUUUUUGGAUCUGACUCCAAAAUUAAAAGCAACAAAAGCAAAAAUAAAGAGGUUAGAGGACAUCAAAUUAAAAAGCUUCUGCACGACAAAGGGAACAUAAUGGGAUAUUUGCAAGUCCUAUAUCUGAUAAGGGGUUCAUACACAAAAUAUAUAAAGAAAUCAUAGAAGUCAACAGCAAAAACAAAACAAUCUAAUUAAAAAAUGGCCAGAGGGUCCGAAUAGCUUUUUUUCCCCAAAGAUGACCUACAGAUCGCCAAUCGGCACAUGAAAAAAUAGCACCGUUAACCAUCAGGGAAAUGCACAUCAAAGCCACAAGAUUACCACCUCACGCCUGUGACAAUGGCUAUUGCCAAAAAGACAAGAAACAACAAGAAGUGGGAAAGAUGGAGGGGAAAAGGAACCCUUGUGUCUCGGUGGGCGUGUAAAUUGGUGCAGGUACUGCGGAAAGCAGGAUGGAGUUCCUCACAAAACUGCAAAUGGAACUCGCAUGUUGUCGACCAAUAGCAAUUCUGGGAAAAGAGCCAAAGGACGUGAAAAUACGAGUUCAACAAGAUAUGUGCACCCUCGCAUCCACAGCAGCAUUACGGACAGUGGGUGAGAUCCGGAAACACCUGGGUGUCCAUCGAUGGGUGAACAGACAGAGGAAAUGCAUAUACGUACACUAUGACGUCCUACUCAGCCAGAAGAGUGAAACCUUGACAUUUGGGACAACGUGGCUAGAACAUGAGGGCAGUGUCCUGAGUAAAAUAAGUUGGAGAAAGACACAGACCGUAUGUUCUCACUUACUUGUGGAAUCUACACAAACAAAGCAAAC